CAUCUUGGGAAAAGGAAUAACAAUUGAAAUGGAAGCAAGAAAUACUCAAGUUAAUAAAGAUGGAGGAAAAAAAUAUGUCUUACUUGGUGAAGCACUUCCCAUCUAAGACUGAGGACCUGACUUAGAUCCACACAGCCCAUGAAGGUGGAACAGAAGAGCCAAUUCCAGGAAAUUUUCCUGUGACCUCCACAGAGUUUCCAGUGGCUUGCAAUUCAUACUCUGCCAUGAGACGAUCAGUGCACAACCAUCCAAGCAUUUACAGGUUUUUCAUCCAAACAGGACUUCCAGUGGAAAGAUGAGAAUGUCAACCCACCCAUAAAACCUUCAACCCCAAAAUUUUCCUUCCUAUAAGAUGUGCAGGCAUAAAGAUGAGGAGAGACUGAGGGAGUGGCUCACCAAUGACUGUCCCAACUUGAGGCCCAUCCCAUGUGACAGACACUUUUA